rnacentral:rRNA from 1 species
AGCUCCAAUAGCAUAUGUUAAAGUUGUUGCGGUUGAAAAGCUCGUAGUUGGACUUCUGCUGGGGAUCGUUAACCCACCCUCUGGGUGUUGGUCUGACGUGCCUCAGUAUCUUCUCGGAGAAUGUAGAUGCACUUGACUGUGUGGUGCGCUAUCUGAGGCUAUUACUUUGAGGAAAUUAGAGUGCUUCAAGCAGGUCAUUGCCCUGAAUACAUUAGCAUGGCAUGAUAAGUCAGAACCUCUUGUUCUACUUUGUUGGUUUCGGAACAGAGGGGAGGAUGAAUAGGAACAGUUGGGGGUAUUCAUAUUUGACUGUCAGAGGUGAAAUUCUUGGAUUUGUGAAAGAUGGACUACUGCGAAAGCAUCUGCCAGAGAUGUCUUCA